GAUGAACGCUGGCGGCGUGCUUAACACAUGCAAGUCGAACGGAAAGGCCAGUGCUUGCACUGGUGCUCGAGUGGCGAACGGGUGAGUAACACGUGGGUGAUCUGCCCUGCACUUUGGGAUAAGCCUGGGAAACUGGGUCUAAUACCAGAUAGGACCAUGCUUUGGAUGGUGUGGUGGAAAGUUUUUUCGGUGUGGGAUGAGCUUGCGGCCUAUCAGCUUGUUGGUGGGGUAAUGGCCUACCAAGGCGUCGACGGGUAGCCGGCCUGAGAGGGUGUACGGCCACAUUGGGACUGAGAUACGGCCCAGACUCCUACGGGAGGCAGCAGUGGGGAAUAUUGCACAAUGGGCGCAAGCCUGAUGCAGCGACGCCGCGUGGGGGAUGACGGCCUUCGGGUUGGAAACUCCUUUCGCAACUGACGAAGCUUUUUGUGACGGUAGGUUGAGAAGAAGCACCGGCUAACUACGUG
rnacentral:rRNA from 1 species